CUCCUGGGGUGCAGGAAAGGCACAUACCUGAUUGAGAUGGUACAGGUAUCUGGUAAGACACCAGAGCCCACAGCAGUUGCAUCUGAACGCACCUCUUGACCAUGUACCGCGCUGCUGGGAUCAGGGAGGUUCAGGCCACGAAGACCGAGUGGGAGAUACAGAGAGAAGAUACACUGGUGUUUUGCCCGCACAUAUGUCUGGAUGAGGGUGUUGGAUCCACUGAAACUGGAGUUACAGACGGUUGUGAACUGCCAUGUGGGUGCUGGGAAUUGAACCCGGGUCCUCUGAAAGAGCAACCAGUGCUCUUAACUGCUGAGUCAUCGCUCCAGCCCCCAUUAUUUAUUUUUUAAGGUUAAAAAAAAAGAAGAGUCUGUCUGGUUGUUCAGCAACCAAAGCCUGAAGGCCUAGCCCAAGAGGAUGAAAAGAAGAAGAAAAAUGACUUUUAAUGUUCUGGUCAUUGUCCUCCAAAGGCAUCAGGGAAUUAGAGGACUUGGCUAGAAGAGCCCUGCAUUUCUGAAUUCAACACACCUGGCCAGGACAACUCCUGAGGAAACUUCUCCAGACGGCUUUAGACUGCCUUGGCUCCUAAAGCUCCCUUCUUAAUUCUGCUUUGUGCUUUGGGCUCUUGUUUUGGCUCUCUGGGUACUAUUGAUGUCCUUCAGAUUGCAAGCCAAUUGAGUUCCAGAUGGCAUUUUCUCAUGGAUAACAGCCAUCAAGACCUGUCUCCUACCAUCAAGGACCUCUCGGUCUCCAAAUGGUGUCACAGUGUGGCCUUCCACACCUUAUGUUAACGACCCCCUCCCAUUUCCAGCAUGCCUUUUGGGCCUUCUAUGCAUUGUGGUUCUGGAACCAUGAUGAUGAAUCAGCAAUGCUUCCCCUUCCCCUGAAGCCCCUCCAGAAGUGAGAUUUGUGUCCCUUGUCAAUGAUUUGUUUGACCUUGUUGAUCUACCAGGGGCUAGAAUGGGG